rnacentral:sRNA from 1 species
GGAGGUUUCCAGAAGCGCUGCCGCCACCGCAUCGCGCAGCCCUUAGCCGUCGGAGCGGUUGUUUGCUGCCUCGUACUCUUCCAUUUAUCCGCCAUGAUAAGUGCCAGCCGAGCUGCAGCAGCCCGUCUCGUGGGCGCCGCAGCCUCCCGGGGCCCUACGGCCGCCCGCCACCAGGAUAGCUGGAAUGGCCUUAGUCAUGAGGCUUUUAGAAUUGUUUCAAGGCGGGAUUAUGCAUCAGAAGCAAUCAAGGGAGCAGUUGUUGGUAUUGAUUUGGGUACUACCAACUCCUGCGUGGCAGUUAUGGAAGGUAAACAAGCAAAGGUGCUGGAGAAUGCCGAAGGUGCCAGAACCACCCCUUCAGUUGUGGCCUUUACAGCAGAUGGUGAGCGACUUGUUGGAAUGCCGGCCAAGCGACAGGCUGUCACCAACCCAAACAAUACAUUUUAUGCUACCAAGCGUCUCAUUGGCCGGCGAUAUGAUGAUCCUGAAGUACAGAAAGACAUGUGAGUAACAGCAAAAGUUUUUUGCAAAAAGCAGUUAUUUGCAAGGGCCACACAGAAGAGCCUCAGCAUGUUGAUGAGGAUCCCUGGAGCACCUUACUUUAGUAAUUUUACUUAUUGUCCCUAGGGGAAAUCUGUACCACUGCCAAAAGGGUAAUCCCUUU